rfam:Pteropus vampyrus cont1.223357, whole genome shotgun sequence.
GUCCCUUGGCUCCAUCUUGCCUGGAUAUGACGUCCCCGGACUGAAAACCGCCUCACAUUCUUCCCUGGCCGACGGGCUGUGUCGGGGGGCUGGGCUGUGCGCGCUGUGG